GACCCGUCCUGAAGCACGGACCAAGGAGUCUAACAUGUGCGCGAGUCAUUGGGUUGACUCUAAACCUAAAGGCGCAAUGAAAGUGAAGGUCCCGCCUCGUGCGGACCGAGGGAAGAUGGGGCGCGCUGCUGCGCGGCUCCCGCAUUCCCGGGGCGUCUCGUACUCAUUGCGAGUUGAGGCGCACCCAGAGCGUACACGUUGGGACCCGAAAGAUGGUGAACUAUGCCUGGCCAGGACGAAGUCAGGGGAAACCCUGAUGGAGGUCCGUAGCGAUUCUGACGUGCAAAUCGAUCGUCGGAGCUGGGUAUAGGGGCGAAAGACUAAUCGAACCAUCUAGUAGCUGGUUCCCUCCGAAGUUUCCCUCAGGAUAGCUGGUGCUCGAACGAGUCUCAUCCGGUCAAGCGAAUGAUUAGAGGCCUUGGGGCCGAAACGACCUCAACCUAUUCUCAAACUUUAAAUGGGUGAGAUCUCCGGCUUGCUUAAACGCAUGAAGCCGCGAGACAAUAAUAAAAAUUGGAUCGGAGUGCCAAGUGGGCCACUUUUGGUAAGCAGAACUGGCGCUGUGGGAUGAACCAAACGCAGAGUUAAGGCGCCCGAAUAGACGCUCAUGGGAAACCAUGAAAGGCGUUGGUUGCUUAAGACAGCAGGACGGUGGCCAUGGAAGUCGGAAUCCGCUAAGGAGUGUGUAACAACUCACCUGCCGAAGCAACUAGCCCUGAAAAUGGAUGGCGCUGAAGCGUCUUGCCUAUACUCUGCCGUCAGCACGGCAAUGAGGGGUGCGCGGUUUCGCUUCGGCGGGCCCGCCCCGUGAGGCCCUGACGAGUAGGAGGGUCGCGGCGGUGAGCGCAGAAGGGUCUAGGCGUGAGCCUGCCUGGAGCCGCCGUCGGUGCAGAUCUUGGUGGUAGUAGCAAAUACUCCAGCGAGGCCCUGGAGGACUGACGUGGAGAAGGGUUUCGUGUGAACAGCCGUUGCACACGAGUCAGUCGAUCCUAAGCCCUAGGAGAAAUCCGAUGUCGAUGGGGUCCGAUAUAUCUGGUAAGAAAGGACCCCAUGGGGCGAAAGGGAAUCCGGUUCCUAUUCCGGAACCCGGCAGCGGAACCGUAAUAAGUCGGGCCCCUCGCAAGAGAAGCUCGUCGGGGUAACCCAAAAGGACCCGGAGACGCCGUCGGGAGAUCGGGGAAGAGUUUUCUUUUCUGCAUGAGCGUUCGAGUUCCCUGGAAUCCUCUAGCAGGGAGAUAGGGUUUGGAACGCGAAGAGCACCGCAGUUGCGGCGGUGUC
rnacentral:rRNA from 1 species